CAGCUUGAUUAUUACCGCUUGCGAGCGCG
rnacentral:sRNA from 1 species